rnacentral:rRNA from 1 species
UACGUAGGGACCAAGCGUUGUUCGGAUUUACUGGGCGUAAAGGGCGCGUAGGCGGCGUGACAAGUCACUUGUGAAAUCUCUGAGCUUAACUCAGAACGGGCAAGUGAAACUGUUGUGCUAGAGUGCAGAAGGGGCAAUCGGAAUUCUUGGUGUAGCGGUGAAAUGCGUAGAUAUCAAGAGGAACACCUGAGGUGAAGGCGGGUUGCUGGGCCGACACUGACGCUGAGGCGCGAAAGCCAGGGGAGCGAACGGG